rnacentral:rRNA from 1 species
GAUGAACGCUGGCGGCGUGCCUAAUACAUGCAAGUCGAGCGAACGGACGAGAAGCUUGCUUCUCUGAGGUUAGCGGCGGACGGGUGAGUAACCCGUGGAUAACCUACCUAUAAGACGGGGAUAACUUCGGGAAACCGGAGCUAAUACCGGAUAAUAUUUUGAACCGCAUGGUUCAAAAGUGAAAGACGGUCUUGCUGUCACUUAUAGAUGGAUCCGCGCUGCAUUAGCUAGUUGGUAAGGUAACGGCUUACCAAGGCAACGAUGCAUAGCCGACCUGAGAGGGUGAUCGGCCACACUGGAACUGAGACACGGUCCAGACUCCUACGGGAGGCAGCAGUAGGGAAUCUUCCGCAAUGGGCGAAAGCCUGACGGAGCAACGCCGCGUGAGUGAUGAAGGUCUUCGGAUCGUAAAACUCUGUUAUUAGGGAAGAACAUAUGUGUAAGUAACUGUGCACAUCUUGACGGUACCUAAUCAGAAAGCCACGGCUAACUACGUG